UUAUAUUAUUAUCUCUAUGUGUACACAUCAGUAAUCUUUCAGAUUUGUUUAUUAUAUUACAUUGUCUGAGGUCGUUUAAUGGCAGUAUUUUGUUUUGUUCGUACAGAAACAAGUAUAUAUUAACUAUGAAUCGAUUGUUUGGCCGAGUAAAAUCAAAAGAUCCACCUCCAAACCUCGAUGACUGUAUUGCUGGGGUUGAUGGUAGAGCGGAUUCAGCUGAAAAGAAAAUUGCAAGAUUAGAUACAGAGUUGAGAAAGUUUAAAGAGCAGAUGACCAAAAUGCGUGACGGACCAGCUAAAAAUGGAAUAAAAGCUAAAGCUCUGCGAGUUUUAAAGCAAAGAAAAAUGUAUGAAGAGCAGGUCGAAAAUUUACGCCAGCAAGCUUUUAACAUGGAACAAGCAAAUUAUGCUACACAAACUUUAAAAGACACACAAGCUACGGUAGUUGCCAUGAAAGAUGGGGUUAAGCAAAUGCAAAAGGAAUUUAAAAACAUAAAUGUUGACAAAAUUGAGGAUAUUCAAGAUGACCUAGCUGACAUGUUGGAACAGGCAGAUGAAGUACAGGAAGCAUUGGGCCGCAGUUAUGGUAUGCCAGACAUAGAUGAAGAUGAGUUGGCUGCUGAACUCGAUGCUCUUGGAGAUGACUUAGCUUUGGAUACAGAUGCUUCUUACUUGGACAAUGCUAUAAAAGCUCCAAGUGCACCUGAUAAAGAACCAGGUGCAGCUUCAGUUACAACUAAGGAUGGAGUUUUAGUGGAUGAAUUUGGUUUACCUCAAAUUCCAGCUAGUUAGAUCAUCAUAAAAUUUACAAAAAUUUAUUUCUACUUAGUUUGACAAUAUUUUGGCACAUUCCAAAGAUGCUAAAAUUUGUGGAAGUAAAUGAUGGUUAUCUUAAGUACUUAAAUACUCAUUACAAAACCUUGUGGCUCUUUAUCUUCUGUAUUAAACCUCUACAUUAAUUUAGUGCAUAAAUAACUAGUACAAGAGUUAUUUCCAUGCGUCUUGAAUUCAAUCAGAUCCAAAUUUUAAAAUGCUUGGUAUAAAACUUAUAGAAAACAUUAUUGAACACUUCAUUGGCCACUUAACACUGUUAAUAGAGUAAACCUUGUU